UAGGGCAAGACGACGUCUUUUUUAAAAGAAGUGCUUUUAUUUUAGCUGGCCCAACAACACAGUGCAGAUGGAAUUUGCAAAGCUGUGCAACUGAGUUAGAAUUUUGACUGAUUUUUAUAGUUCAUUUAUGAUUAGCUCAUUGAUCAUUAAGUACAUAGUGAUGAUAAACAGAAACAAGGUGGGCCUUUGUUCCCCUUUGCUUGAGGUCAGAGGCAUCUCACAGUGAGUGGUUAGCCAAUUCAUAGCCCUUGGUCUGCCAAUUCCAGGAACAUUUGUCUCUCAUAAAGGGAACAAUGGUUGACACAGCAUCAUUUGUCUCUUACAAGAGGAACAAAGGUUGACACAGCAAACAGGUUACUGGGAUGGGAGGGAACCACACAUACAGCACAGCAUGACAAUGCAGUCAGUUAAUCUGUAACUAUGUGGUUGGUACAUGGUUACUAGGGUAACAAGCUCAGCACAGAAUGACAAUACUGCUAAUAACUAUCUUCUUAACUAACUAUUUUUGCUAAUAACUGUCUUUUAAUUAACGAUUUUAAAUUUUUGGCAUUUUAGUACAACACUUCUCUGUUGAUCCACAGAAUUAUAUCAGAGAAUUUGAAUUUAUAACUAAUUGUUAUGGUUUACAUUUUAAGGAUAUUUAUGUGACUUUGAACUCCACCCUCAGCUCACAAGAGCAAGCUCAGCUGUGGCAAGGAGCUCGAGAAGAAGCAGAUUGGCAAAUAAGCAGAUAAGGCAAAUACCGCUGAAAAUGACCCUGGGCCUACUGCAGUCCCAGAACAAGAUCCUAACUGGAAUUACCAAAGUGGAUAAGGUUCUUAUAAAUUAUAUAAGAUGAUUGAAUGUCUACCUGUGGGCCUUAAUAAAAUUGCUCACAAACAUACUAACUAUAACAAACUUUUAGAACAGGUUCAGGAGGCUAAUGAAAAUCUAGCUGUGUCCCUAAAUCAGCUUAGGGACACCUUAAUUAAGUUUACUACUGUAAACCCAGACUCUCCUGAAAGGAUGAUUGUUGUUAACUCUUAUUUUAUUUCUCAGUCUGCUCUUGAUAUUCCUGCAAAGUUACAAAAGGCUGAACAUGGCCCUCAAACCCCACAAGGAGACCUUCUUAAUUUAGCUUUCCAUGUUUUCAACGACAGAGAAAAAACUCAAAAAGAGGAACAAAAAAAGAAAUUUGCUAAAUAUCAAUCUGAUCUCUUAGCAGUAGCACUUGGGGCUCCCAAGACAGGAAAGCCAAAACAAGGCAGAGCUGCCCAAGCCCUUCCUGGACCAUGCUUCAAGUGCAGCAAAGAAGGACAUUGGGCAAGACAGUGCCCCGAUCCUGGUGUUCCCUUGGGGCCUUGUCCCUAUUGCAAUCUCAAGGGCCACUGGAAGACCCACUGUCCUAGCCGCCAGAGGGCGGGUAAACUAUCCUCUAACUCCUUGCCCUCACAGGAGACUCCAUCACCACCAGAUUCAUCACUGACUGAUCUGCUCAGACUUGCUGCUGAAGAUUGAUGGGGCUCGGGGCCCACAGCCCCCAUUAAGGUGUCCUUCUCAGAUCCCCAAGUUCCACUGGUAGUCUCAGGACUACAACCAAGGUGGAGCGGCCCCUACCUGGUCUUCAUGGCAACCCCAACAGCAGUCAAAGUUGCUGGACUGCCAUCCUGGUUCCACAUCACUCAUGCUAAGUGGUGCCCUCCCAACCCUGAAUCUAACAUCCUGAGUGGUCAUCUCAUCUUCUGUCCCUCACCUGUCUCCGUCUCACCAAGGCCUCACAGCUGCAACUCUCAGGCUAAGUCAUGUUUUGUUAUCCAAUUUGGUUCCUAAUUUCUUACAUUCUAUUAAUUAUCCUUUUUACAGCAGGACUCUUGACAGUCUUUCCUAAAGACUCCCACAUUGUGCGUAAGAUCGUCUUCGUGUUGUUCUAUGUGACAACCAUCUUAGUUCUCUCUACCCUCAGCUGUUUAGUCAAACCUGGGAUCCUUGAAGGCUUAGGCUCUUACCUCUCAUAGUGACACAGCCAUGGCCCUCCCCACCCCUCUUAUUCUUUCCAGCUCAACUCAUGGACCAGAGACAAGCCCUACCUACCUACACUCUUAACUUUUACCCUUUCAGAUGGGAAAAUAAUCACCUCUCAUAACUUCACUCCUCCUAACCCCACACUUCUUUUUCAGAAUUCUACCUCACCAUGGUAAGGAUUCUCCCUCACCUGGGUCCUUAAAUAUGACAGUGGCCUGCCUCCUCAUCGCACCUUGUCUCUUUGUUUUUCCAGUCUAACAUGUGGGCAUUCACCAAUGAUAAAGUUGUCCUGGCUGAAACACCUGGCGCCAGCUUCUGCGUGGGCAUCAACCGUCAUCCGGUCGACCCUCCUAAACUCCAAUAUGACACCACCCUUUCAGCAGGAAUCAUUUUUCUGCAUCCUACAAUUUUGAUCUGGAUAAUCUACCUCUUGGUGAGAGAAGAAUAUUUAAAUUCCAACUGUCAUUGGAUUGGAACCUGCCUAUCUCUUUGGAUCUAACAGUGUUUAUUUUAUAAAAUUGGGUGUUCUAACAUUAGGUGCAUAUAGAUUCAUAGUCAUCUUUUUAAUAAAUUGAUCCCUUUCUAGGCAUAA